rnacentral:tRNA from 1 species
UCUGGAAUAGGGAGGAAUUGGUUUUAAAAUGACUUGUAAUCAGUAGGUCCCGAGUUCGACUCUUGGUGCCGGCACCA